rnacentral:lncRNA from 1 species
CCCAGAAUCCCUGAAGAGUGACCUGUCCAGGGAUCCCCUAAACAUCUUCCUAAGCGGUGUCCUGAGGACCGGGUUCAGCACCCUGAAGGUGAAUCCACAGAGCGCCAGUGAGCAGCUCUUCAGAAAGGUGGAGGGAUUGGAAAACAGCCCUCUGGAGCCCAAAUCCAUCCUCCUUGUGCCCAGACCUUUGCCUGGACCUUCAGCGUUGAGUCUACGAAAGGAAGAUGUCCUGGAGCUUUGGGUGAUUGGACAAGUCCCCGUCACUGGGGCCGGGGAGAAAGGACUUGAGAAAAGCCAGACGUUAAGACCAGCCUUGAGGAGAGGUGGCCACGGAGGCCUCCUGGCUCCUCGUGCUUGAAGAGAGAGCUCUGCUCUCUCAAGAUUUUGUCCUUCCGCCAAUGAGAAGGGUGAAGGAGGAGGUGGAGGGAGUGACAUCUGGGCACCUGACGGCCAAGUCCCAGGUGAGUUAGGCUUUCCUGCCUCUUCUGAAAUGCCGUCUUAUUUCUCAAACCUCUCUUUCUCUUGUCCUUGCCUGGUGCCCUGUAAUCAUGUCCAAUCCAGCCUUCUCAUGGAGGGCGAAGGAAGGAGAGAUUUAGGAACUCAAAAUUUUAAAAUACUAAUGUCAAAAUUUUGUUUUUACAUGUAAUUGGAAAAAAAUUAAAUAUAGUUUUUUAAAAGAAG